rnacentral:rRNA from 2 species
UCCAGGCAAAUCCGGAUAAUCAAGGCUGAGGUGUGAUGACGAGGCACUACGGUGCUGAAGUAACAAAUGCCCUGCUUCCAGGAAAAGCCUCUAAGCAUCAGGUAACAUCAAAUCGUACCCCAAACCGACACAGGUGGUCAGGUAGAGAAUACCAAGGCGCUUGAGAGAACUCGGGUGAAGGAACUAGGCAAAAUGGUGCCGUAACUUCGGGAGAAGGCACGCUGGUGUGUAGGUGAAGUCCCUGCGGAUGGAGCUGAGACCAGUCGAAGAUACCAGCUGGCUGCAACUGUUUAUUAAAAACACAGCACUGUGCAAACACGAAAGUGGACGUAUACGGUGUGACGCCUGCCCGGUGCCGGAAGGUUAAUUGAUGGGGUUAUCCGUAAGGAGAAGCUCUUGAUCGAAGCCCCGGUAAACGGCGGCCGUAACUAUAACGGUCCUAAGGUAGCGAAAUUCCUUGUCGGGUAAGUUCCGACCUGCACGAAUGGCGUAAUGAUGGCCAGGCUGUCUCCACCCGAGACUCAGUGAAAUUGAACUCGCUGUGAAGAUGCAGUGUACCCGCGGCAAGACGGAAAGACCCCGUGAACCUUUACUAUAGCUUGACACUGAACAUUGAGCCUUGAUGUGUAGGAUAGGUGGGAGGCUUUGAAGCGUGGACGCCAGUCUGCGUGGAGCCAACCUUGAAAUACCACCCUUUAAUGUUUGAUGUUCUAACGUUGGCCCCUUACCGGGGUUGCGGACAGUGUCUGGUGGGUAGUUUGACUGGGGCGGUCUCCUCCCAAAGCGUAACGGAGGAGCACGAAGGUUAGCUAAUCCUGGUCGGACAUCAGGAGGUUAGUGCAAUGGCAUAAGCUAGCUUGACUGCGAGCGUGACGGCGCGAGCAGGUGCGAAAGCAGGUCAUAGUGAUCCGGUGGUUCUGAAUGGAAGGGCCAUCGCUCAACGGAUAAAAGGUACUCCGGGGAUAACAGGCUGAUACCGCCCAAGAGUUCAUAUCGACGGCGGUGUUUGGCACCUCGAUGUCGGCUCAUCACAUCCUGGGGCUGAAGUAGGUCCCAAGGGUAUGGCUGUUCGCCAUUUAAAGUGGUACGCGAGCUGGGUUUAGAACGUCGUGAGACAGUUCGGUCCCUAUCUGCCGUGGGCGCUGGAGAAUUGAGGGGGGCUGCUCCUAGUACGAGAGGACCGGAGUGGACGCAUCACUGGUGUUCGGGUUGUCAUGCCAAUGGCACUGCCCGGUAGCUAAAUGCGGAAGAGAUAAGUGCUGAAAGCAUCUAAGCACGAAACUUGCCCCGAGAUGAGUUCUCCCUGAGACUUUAAGUCUCCUGAAGGAACGUUAAAGACGAUGACGUUGAUAGGCCGGGUGUGUAAGCGCAGCGAUGCGUUGAGCUAACCGGUACUAAUGAACCGUGAGGCUUAACCUUACAACGCCGAAG